rnacentral:lncRNA from 1 species
AAGCCGCGGGCACAGCUGAGCGCGUCCGGCCCGGAGGCCUGUGUGUCCCCGGAGUGCUCUUCCUCUGUGCCAUUACACACUGUAUGACCCGGCCACGCGCGCAGCGGUCACAUCUGAUGUGGCAUUGAGACUGUGAUCUUGUUUUUUACCUAUCAAGAACCAAACCCAGAUUGUAAACGAUACAGGCUGGUACUUCUUCGGUGCUUUUCUAUCCGGCGACCGGGGUGAGCUCCGUCCGCCUCUCCGGCCCCAGCAAGAAGCCGGCCCCGUACGGUCCCAGCUGCAGAAAUACAACAUUGUCUUUAUAGCCCCACAACUUUUUUGACACGUUUUGUAACAUCUAGGGAGGGGAGUUAGCCACGGAACUAUAACUGGUGACUUCUUUGGUUUGAUUUUGUUCCGUUUUGAGUUUAGCCUCUCUUUCCAGGCAAAUAAAACAGUCUGGCUCACAUUAGACUUCCCCCAAAGCACCUCACUCCUCUUUCCUUCCUGUGCUGAUGGCUCGUGAGUAUCCUCACCACACAGAUAACUCUUAAAUCUAUCUUCCUGUAGGUUCUUUUUUUUUUUUUUUUAAUAUUUAUUUAUUUUGAGAGAAAGAGUGUGAUUCAAGGAGGGGCAAAGAGGGAGGGAGAGAGAGAAUCCAAAGCCAACUCUGAGCUGUCAGCACAGAGUCUGACGCGGGGCUCGAACUCAUGCACCGUGAGAUCAUGACCGGAGCCAAAAACAAGAGCCAGAUGCUCAACUGACUGAGCCACCCAGGCACCCCAUUCUUAAAUCUGUCUUCCUAGACCCCAAUUCUUUCCUGAGCUCAAGCACUGCAAUUUCUACUUGCUUUCCUGUGAGUCCAGGUUCGUUGAUCAAAGAACACUCUCAAGUACUUCCCGCGCUUCCCUGCAGUGGAGAAGUGAGCGACACGGAAAGAAAGUCCUGAAGCCCACAGAACGUAAACGGCCUGCGUGCAAACUCAACACGUCCAGUCAGGCAGGCAGAAACCACACCGACUGUUUCAGUUCGGGGACCCAGUUCCGCAGGCGACGGAGGCCGGAAAGGCAGAUGAGCAGAAGGAGAACCCAACAAGAUCGUGUACACCUGGGAUGUGACUCAGCCGUCCGGCCCUGUUGCCACAAAGCAGGGAAGAAAGGGGUGAACAGAGAGGCUGAGCGACAGCGGGUACGUAACACCUGCCCGACCAGCUCUUCCCUACGACUUCCUAUUUCAGUUCCUGGCACCACAGUCCUCUAAGCAGUGAAGGGAUCUGUGUCUUCAUUCACACGCAAUCAGCGGUCCAACCCCAGAGAGCCCCUGCAAUUUCCCUCCUCUCCGGGCUCAAUCGGGGGACUGAGAAGCACGAUUCUGAGUUAGCACACAUUCCCGCUCAAAGCAAAGAAAGAAACUUCUAGUUAUACUUCAGUCACAGUUGUGUCCAAUCAAUGUACAACAUUGCAAAACUAAAAAUCGCCAGGAGACCCUUAUUACUCACAUCAAAGACCUCAACGGGACACGUACGCACUGUCCUAGAUGACCCUGUCUACUAAGUUUGCAAAUUACUACAUGUCGGGUGAAAUGCCCGUGAUUCCUGACGCAUGUCCCAAAGGAGGAUCUGGUGUCUCCUGUUUCCCGUGAAGCCAGGUGUCUGCAAGGUUUGCGAGUGCCUUUUGCACGUGGCUUGGUCCCAGGGGGUGAUUUCCAAAGACGGCCACAACCGUGUCUCCCGUUGCACGUGC